rnacentral:misc_RNA from 1 species
AAGUCGUAACAAGGUAUCCGUAGGUGAACCUGCGGAUGGAUCAUUACCAAUUUUAUAUAUUAGUGUGUAUGCCGCUGUCAAAGGUGGUACUACACUACUACUAUUAUGUAAACGUUGAACUAGAUCAAUUGGUGUGGAUUGCUUGGGAAUGGACGAAGCGACAAGCCUCUUCCGGACAGGCAAACCCCACACUGAUAACCUUUUCAAUAUAAUUUACUAGUACAUACUACAAACAAACAAAAGCUAUAAUAGGACUUAUAAACAGGCUGAGUGGGUAAAAUCCUCGGCUUAACCAAUAUAACUAUUACAACUUUCAGCAAUGGAUCUCUAGGCUCUC